CUCCAAGGGAGAAGAUACACCUUCACUCGUGGACCUCGCAGAAACUCCUGGACUGCGGCAGUCCCACGAGGUGGGAGAGAUGCAGUGGCACUGGGCUGCCCACCUUCCUGCCGCAACAGAUGGCAAGUAUUGGAAGUUCUCCUGGGGACUGCUGUAGGGUG